CUACGGGUCGCUCCAGUGAGGAAUAUUGCACAAUAGGGGGAACCCUGAUGCAGCAACGCCGCGUGGAGGAUGACGCAUUUCGGUGUGUAAACUCCUUUUAUAUGUCAAGAAAAUGACGGUAGCAUAUGAAUAAGCGCCGGCUAACUCCGUGCCAGCAGCCGCGGUAAUACGGAGGGCGCAAGCGUUACUCGGAAUCACUGGGCGUAAAGGACGCGUAGGCGGGUUGAAAAGUCAGGUGUGAAAGCCUACAGCUUAACUGAGAACUGCACUUGAUACUCUCAAUCUAGAGUAUGGGAGAGGCAGAUGGAAUUAGUGGUGUAGGGGUAAAAUCCGUAGAUAUCACUAGGAAUACCUAAAGCGAAGGCGAUCUGCUGGAACAUUACUGACGCUAAGGCGUGAAAGCGUGGGGAGCAAACAGGAUUAGAUACCCCUGUAGUC
rnacentral:rRNA from 1 species